rnacentral:lncRNA from 1 species
UCACCUGCUUGAGCUGCUCCAGGAAAUUGGGAGUCUGAGUGGAACUCUCGCCGAUCUGGCCGAGCGUGAGCGCGAUGACAAUGGCAGCAAUGUAAUUGGUGAUGCAGUAGUCGAGGUACGUGUGCUGUGGCAAUCGCCCUCUUCGUUCUAACAGGUUCAUGAUCGCUGGCCAUGUCCCCAGGAAGACGAGCGCCGUGAGCAUGAGCGCGAUGGCGCCCCCUUUGUCCUCCACCACGUACAUGAUGCAAAUCUCUCUCGGAUGCCUUGCUCGAUCGAUCGAUCCCUAUAAGAUCACUCACACUUACCUAUGCUCGUGGAUCACAUUGUCAAAUCCCCCAUUCUCCAGUCUUCGUCGGUGAUGGCGACCGUGGAAGACUAGGAGUUCCCAAAAGUGUGGGAGUGUGCCUAAUAAUUCGGGAACCACAUGAGAUUGAUAUGCACACCAUCUUUGGACAAAAUUAGAUUCCUAGAUGCGCUCUUGGAAGAACACUCGAAGUUACAUCUCCCUAUCCUCCUCUCGCUGGUUGGAUCGCUGGAAAGCUUUCUUUGUCCUCCUCGCUCAUCCUCAUGGUC